rnacentral:rRNA from 1 species
AGUGAACGCUGGCGGUAGGCUUAACACAUGCAAGUCGAACGGCAGCACAGUAAUAGCUUGCUCUUCCGGGUGGCGAGUGGCGGACGGGUGAGGUAUACAUCCGCAUCUACUUUUUCGUGGGGCUUCACGUAGUGAAACUUACGCUAAUACCGCAUCCGACCUACGGGUGAAAGCAUGGGAUCUUCGGACCUUGCGCGAUUGAAUGCGCCGCUUUCGGAUUAGCUAGUUGGCGGGUUAAAGGCCCACCAAGGCGCCGAUCCGUAGCUGGUCUGAGAGGAUGAUAAGCCACACUGGAACUGAGACACGGUCAAGACUCCUACGGGAGGCAGCAGUGGGGAAUAUUGGACAAUGGGCGCAAGCCUGAUCCAGCCAUACCGCGUGGGUGAAGAAGGCCUUCGGGUUGUAAAGACCUUUUGUUGGGAAAGAAAAGCAGCAGGUUAAUACCCAGCGGUACUGACGGUACCCGAAGAAUAAGCACCGGCUAACUACGUG